rnacentral:tRNA from 1 species
AGGGCUAGAGCUCAGUGGUAGAGUGUGUGCUUAGCAUGCAUGCGGCCCUGGAUUCAAUCCCAGUACCUCCA